AAGUUAUAUUAUGUUUUUAAAAUAAAAAAGUAAAAAAAAAAAUAGCAGCUACAGAAAAAAGAAUUAAAAAAAUAUUUUUAACGUCGUCAGCAAAAUACUAAACCUUAAAUCCUAAUCCCUAAACCCUAAAUCCUAAUCCCUAAACCCUAAAUCAUAAACCCUAAACCCUUGGGUAAACCUAAACCCUUGGGUAAACCCUAAAUCCUUGGAUAAACCCUAAACCCUUGGAUAAACUCUAAACCCUUGGGUAAACCCUAAACCCUUGGAUAAAUCCUAAACUCUAAAUAAAAACACUAAACCCUAAAACUUUA
rnacentral:lncRNA from 1 species